rnacentral:rRNA from 1 species
GACGAACGCUGGCGGCGUGCCUAAUACAUGCAAGUCGAGCGAAUUGAUGGGAGCUUGCUCCCUGAUAUUAGCGGCGGACGGGUGAGUAACACGUGGGUAACCUGCCUGUAAGAUUGGGAUAACUCCGGGAAACCGGAGCUAAUACCGGAUAACAUUUCGAACCGCAUGGUUUGAAAUUGAAAGAUGGUUUCGGCUAUCACUUACAGAUGGACCCGCGGCGCAUUAGCUAGUUGGUGAGGUAACGGCUCACCAAGGCAACGAUGCGUAGCCGACCUGCGAGGGUGAGCGGCCACACUGGGACUGAGACACGGCCCAGACUCCUACGGGAGGCAGCAGUAGGGAAUCUUCCGCAAUGGACGAAAGUCUGACGGAGCAACGCCGCGUGAACGAUGAAGGCCUUCGGGUCGUAAAGUUCUGUUGUUAGGGAAGAACAAGUACCAGAGUAACUGCUGGUACCUUGACGGUACCUAACCAGAAAGCCACGGCUAACUACGUGCCAGCCGCCGCCGUAA